UUUGCAAUAAAUCGGUCUAUAAAAAUCUACAGUUAAACUAUGAUAUAUUUUACUUUAAUUUUUGCACGAAUAAAAGAAAGAACUAUACCGCUUUAGCCAAUCAGAAAAUAGCUAGGGUCUAACACCGAGACGAAUCAGUGCGCAUCAUAGUGCGCAUGUCAUCAGUCUACAGUUGAAAAUCGUGGUGAUAGGUCACGUUUCACCGGCUGAAAAUGAACAUCUUUGUGGGAAAUUAUCAUUUCAUCGUAAGCAAGAUGGCUUUGAAAGUGUAGUUUCUACGCAUACCAUGGCAAUUGAGAGAUAAUUCGACAACUUUGACACAAAUAUGAUAUUUUACAUUUCCUGAAUGGAUCAUGACAACAUCGACAGGAAUAUUCUUCGCAUCUAAUGAUCGCGUUUCAUACGGGAAUUUGUACUGUUCAGAUGGUCGAAAAAUACGCGCAGGUAAGGUCG
rnacentral:lncRNA from 1 species